rnacentral:rRNA from 1 species
UGGGGAAUAUUGGACAAUGGGCGAAAGCCUGAUCCGGCCAUGCCGCGUGUGUGAAGAAGGUCUUCGGAUUGUAAAGCACUUUAAGGUGGGAGGAAGGGCAGUAAGCGAAUACCUUGCUGUUUUGACGUUACCGACAGAAUAAGCACCGGCUAACUCUGUGCCAGCAGCCGCGGUAAUACAGAGGGUGCAAGCGUUAAUCGGAAUUACUGGGCGUAAAGCGCGCGUAGGUGGUUCGUUAAGUUGAAUGUGAAAGCCCCGGGCUCAACCUGGGAACUGCAUCCAAAACUGGCGAGCUAGAGUAGGGCAGAGGGUGGUGGAAUUUCCUGUGUAGCGGUGAAAUGCGUAGAUAUAGGAAGGAACACCAGUGGCGAAGGCGACCACCUGGGCUCAUACUGACACUGAGGUGCGAAAGCGUGGGGAGCAAACAGG